rnacentral:misc_RNA from 1 species
AAAAAAAAGACUUCAAGAGUGACUAAUAUGAUCUCGCUUGCUAAAAACAAGAAGAGUGUGAUAAAAGGAGAUGGACAACAGCUAAGGAAAUUAUUGUCAGAAAGAGAGAGCAGGCAAGAACAAAAUCUCAAAGUACUAAUCGGCUCUAUUGGAUCAAAGAGCAAUAAAGUGCUUUAUGUUAGAAAUAUGCUGAGAUUUGUAUCUCAACAUUCAAACAUGUCAAAGUCAAUACUAUGGACUCCAACAACUACACAUGUUGCACCGCUCUAUGCUGCGGCGGAUGUUUAUGUGAUAAAUGCCCAGGGACUCGGAGAAACAUUUGGG